UACGUAGGGUGCAAGCGUUGUCCGGAAUUAUUGGGCGUAAAGAGCUCGUAGGCGGUCUGUCGCGUCGGAUGUGAAAACUCGGGGCUCAACCCCGAGCCUGCAUUCGAUACGGGCAGACUAGAGUUCGGUAGGGGAGACUGGAAUUCCUGGUGUAGCGGUGAAAUGCGCAGAUAUCAGGAAGAACACCCGUGGCGAAGGCGGCUCUCUGGGACGGUACUGACGCUGAGACGCGAAAAGCGUGGGGGAGCGAACAGG
rnacentral:rRNA from 1 species